UACAGAGGUCCCAAGCGUUGUUCGGAUUUACUGGGCGGAAAGGGUGCGUAGGUGGCGGGGUAAGUCUGGUGUGAAAGCUCCGAGCUCAACUCGGAAAAGCAUUGGAAACUAUCCCGCUUGAGGGUCGGAGGGGAGACUGGAAUUCUCGGUGUAGCAGUGAAAUGCGUAGAUAUCGAGAGGAACACCAGUGGCGACGGCGAGUCUCUGGACGACUCCUGACACUGAGGCACGAAAGCUAGGGGAGCAAACAGG
rnacentral:rRNA from 1 species